rnacentral:rRNA from 1 species
UACGUAGGGACCGAGCGUUGUCCGGAAUCAUUGGGCGUAAAGAGCGUGUAGGCGGCCACUUAAGUCCUGCGUGAAAUCUUGCGGCUCAACCGCAAGCGGUCGUGGGAAACUGGGUGGCUAGAGUGCGGGAGAGGAGAGUGGAAUUCCUGGUGUAGCGGUGGAAUGCGUCAGAUAUCGGAGGAAACGAACCAGCCGGCUGGAGGCGAAGCU